CCAAUCAAACCGGGAGAUAGCUGGUUCUCCCCGAAAGCUAUUUAGGUAGCGCCUCGUGAAUUCAUCUUCUGGGGUAGAGCACUGUUUCGGCUAGGGGGUCAUCCCGACUUACCAACCCGAUGCAAACUACGAAUACCGAAGAAUGUUAUCACGGGAGACACACGGCGGGUGCUAACGUCCGUCGUGAAGAGGGAAACAACCCAGACCGCCAGCUAAGGUCCCAAAGUCAUGGUUAAGUGGGAAACGAUGUGGGAAGGCACAGACAGCCAGGAUGUUGGCUUAGAAGCAGCCAUCAUUUAAAGAAAGCGUAAUAGCUCACUGGUCGAGUCGGCCUGCGCGGAAG
rnacentral:rRNA from 1 species